GCAACAUUGCCCAGCCUUGGAGGGCUUUACAUGCACCACCAUGCACUACAACACACAGCAAGGAAUAUGCCAAGGACCCACAGCUGCUGUUCGGCAGCUCUUUCCUCUCAAACUCAGGGGACUUGUUCCACUAUCUGUCGAAGCCACAAAUACUGAUAUGGCACCAAGUGCAUCACCCUUGUGCCAAAGCUUCUCAAACAAACUUGACAAACCAAAAACAACAUUACUUUGCAUGGCUUGCAUGGCCAAGGAAGCCCACGUGGUAGCCAUGCCACCAGCUGAUGGUGUUUUCACUACUGGCUUUCACCAAGUCGGCAACAACCCAUUUUGCUUUGCCAUUUGGUUCACCGAGCCUUCAUCAUCU
rnacentral:lncRNA from 1 species